GUUCUCCUCAUUACUAUGUGGGUCCUCUGGUUUCCAAAGAUGUACAGGUCAAGCAGCAUCUGUGGAGACAAAGGAAAGGUCAAUAUUUUGGGUCGAGACUCUGCAUCGGGACUAUAUCAUAGUGAGAAGGAGGGGUCGGAAAGAGGCUGGUAGCCACAAAGCAAGAAACCCAGAAGAGCAAAAUUAAAGAAAAAAAAGAAUUAAAAUAAAAAUAAAAGAUCUACAGCCAAUGCACGAGAGAAAGAAAGAAAUACACAAAAUUCAUGCAAACAAUUGAAGCAAACAACAACAAUCCAAACUAAAAAUUGUGUCCUCAGAUCCAAACCCCAGAGCAGCCCAGGGUAAGCCCAAAGCCUCGUUUUUCAGUUCAUCAUAUUAGCAGCCACGGAGCACAACAGCUGGGCUAGUCAUCAUAGCCUCAGCGCCAUAUAGAGAAUUGAAUGACCUUCGCGGAGAACUUCGCCCUGGAUCCCAACACCCUAUGUUUUCAGUGUAUCUGGGCUAGCAUUUAAAUGGGCCAAAUGACGGAACAGCGAAAGGCUCUGGAGAGAGGAGAGAAUAUCGCGGAGAGCAAAGAAGAUCGGCUCUCGCCUUCGAUCUGGGCUGGCGCUUAAAUUGUCUGAACAGCGUAUUGUACCUCGCACUAAGACCCAGGCACCACUGCAGCAAAAGGCUCCAGGCCUAGACCACACCGCUCAGUGACUUGCUUCGGGCCCAGAUUGCGUCGCCCAACCCAAAGCCAUUCUCAAACUCUUCAAAUCAGCUCAGUGCCCAGAAUGAUCCAACCUCACACCCAGGUCUGUUGUACAAGCACCAAAUCUCCUCAGCCCACGCCCUGACUUCUACUUUCAGCGCCCAGAGCAAUCCAGCUUUGCUGCUGGGCCAGCUGUAUGGGCUUUGGAACUCCAUCUGGAACGAUUCUGCAACACACCAUCUUGACUCACCCUCCGAACUCGCCUCGCCAUCGCUCGCCCCUUCACUGUUUGUGGCAAUAAUUUAACAUAUUGUAGUCUGUCUGGAAAAAAUUCCAACAAAAUUGAUUUAAUUCAAAUACUUCCUGAAAAUAUUUUUAUCUUCAAACCCACAGCCAAAUUUUCAAUCACAAUGA